GUUACUCGCUGUGCGGCGGGGACCGCGACGAUCCCGGGUCGCCGUUGGCAGCGGCGGCGGCGGCGGCAGCAGCAGCAGCAGCAGCAGCCCGGGUGGCGGCGCGGACCCCGAGUGCCCGGGCGCACCCCGGCACCCCGGAGCGCGGCGGGGCGGCGGGACCGGUGCGGCCGCGCGCGCCUUAAGCUCGGCCCCGCGGCUCGGGGACCCCGACUCCCGGCCCAGCCAGCGAGUCCCCAGGCGCCGCCCGAGAGCCCGGGAGGCAAGCGGCCGCGGGGAGCCGGGCCAGGGGGCGGCCACCGCCCGCGCCGGGCAUCCUCUGGGGCCCGGGAGCGCGGAGGGCGCUGCGCCACCGCGCGGUGCCGGCCCCCGCGGGCCUCCCCCGACCUUCCCCACCUCCUGGGCCCGAGGGACGCGGGCUCGGGCGGGCGAGCAGGGGGUAGGGUGGGGGGGCGGGGAGGGAGCCGCCCCCGCCCGCGCCCCCUCCGCUGUCCCGCGGCUCCUCCACGGCGGGCCGGGCGGCGCGGCCUGAGACGCCGGCGAUGGCGAGCCCGCCGCUGCACGGGCCCCCCGGGCCGGCGGGUGGCGACGGCCCCAACCUCAACAACAACAACAACAACAACAACCACAGCGUGCGCAAGUGCGGUUACCUGCGCAAGCAGAAGCACGGCCACAAGCGCUUCUUCGUGCUGCGCGGGCCCGGCGACGAGGCGGCGGCGGCGGGCGGGGGGCCGGCGCCGCAGCCGCCGCGGCUCGAGUACUACGAGAGCGAGAAGAAGUGGCGGAGCAAGGCGGGCGCCCCGAAGCGGGUCAUCGCGCUCGACUGCUGCCUGAACAUCAACAAGCGCGCCGACGCCAAGCACAAGUACCUGAUCGCGCUCUACACCAAGGACGAGUACUUCGCCGUGGCGGCCGAGAACGAGCAGGAGCAGGAGGGCUGGUACCGCGCGCUCACCGACCUGGUCAGCGAGGGCCGCGCGGGCGCCGGCGACGCGCCCCCCGCCGCCGCCGCCACCGCCGCGUCCUGCAGCGCCUCCCUGCCCGGCGCCCUGGGCGGCUCGGCCGGCGCCGCCGCGGCCGAUGACAGCUACGGGCUGGUGGCGCCCGCCUCGGCCGCCUACCGCGAGGUGUGGCAGGUGAACCUGAAGCCCAAGGGCCUGGGCCAGAGCAGGAACCUGACGGGCGUGUACCGCCUGUGCCUGUCGGCGCGCACCAUCGGCUUUGUGAAACUUAACUGUGAGCAGCCGUCGGUGACGCUGCAGCUCAUGAACAUUCGCCGCUGCGGCCACUCGGACAGCUUCUUCUUCAUCGAGGUGGGCCGGUCGGCCGUCACGGGCCCAGGUGAGCUGUGGAUGCAGGCCGACGACUCGGUGGUGGCGCAGAACAUCCACGAGACCAUCUUGGAGGCCAUGAAGGCGCUCAAGGAGCUCUUCGAGUUCCGGCCGCGCAGCAAGAGCCAGUCGUCUGGCUCGUCCUCCACACACCCCAUCAGCGUCCCCGGCGCGCGCCGCCACCACCACCUGGUCAACCUGCCCCCCAGCCAGACGGGCCUGGUGCGCCGCUCGCGCACCGACAGCCUGGCCGCCACCCCGCCGGCAGCCAAGUGCAGCUCGUGUCGGGUGCGCACGGCCAGCGAGGGCGACGGCGGCGCGGCGGCGGCGGGGGCCGGGGCGGCGGGCGGCAGGCCCGUGUCGGUGGCCGGGAGUCCCCUGAGCCCCGGGCCGGUGCGAACGCCCCUGAGCCGCUCACACACCCUGAGCGGCGGCGGCGGCGGCGGCGGCGGCCGCGCGGGCAAGGUGGCGCUGGCGCCGGCAGGGGGCGCCCUGCAACACAGCCGCUCCAUGUCCAUGCCCGUGGCGCACUCUCCCCCAGCAGCCACCAGCCCUAGCAGCCUGUCGUCCAGCAGCGGGCACGGCUCCGGCUCCUACCCACCGCCUCCGGGCCCGCACCCGCACCUGCAGCACCCCCUGCACCAGCCCGCGAGCCAGCGGCCCUCCAGCGGCAGCGCCUCGGCCUCAGGGUCCCCCAGCGACCCCGGCUUCAUGUCUCUGGACGAGUACGGCUCCAGCCCUGGGGACCUGAGAGCCUUCUGCAGCCACCGGAGCAACACGCCCGAGUCCAUUGCCGAGACGCCCCCGGCCCGGGACGGCAGCGGGGGCGAGCUGUACGGGUACAUGACCAUGGACAGGCCCCUGAGCCACUGUGGCCGCCCCUACCGCAGAGUCUCCGGGGACGGGGCCCAGGACGUGGACAGAGGCCUGAGGAAGCGGACGUACUCCCUGACCACACCUGCCCGGCAGCGGCCCGUGCCCCAGCCCUCCUCUGCGUCCCUGGACGAAUACACCCUGAUGCGGGUCUCCUUCUCUGGCAGCUCCGGCCGCCUCUGCCCGUCCUGCCCCGCCUCAUCUCCCAAAGCGGCCUACCACCCCUACCCCGAGGACUACGGGGACGUCGAGAUCGGCUCCCACAGGAGCUCCAGCAGUAACCUGGGUACGGACGACGGCUACAUGCCCAUGACCCCCGGCGCGGCCCUCACGGGGGGUGGCAGUGGCAGCUGUAGGAGUGACGACUACAUGCCUAUGAGCCCCACCAGCGUGUCUGCCCCAAAGCAGAUCCUGCAGCCUCGGGCUGCCGCUGCGGCCUUGCCCCCCGCGGGAGCGCCAGUGUCCACACCCGCGGCCGGCAGGGCCUUCCCGGCCAGCGGGGGCAGCUACAAGGCAAGCUCCCCGGCGGAGAGCUCCCCCGAGGACAGCGGGUACAUGCGUAUGUGGUGUGGCUCCAAGCUGUCCAUGGAGAACGCAGACAGCAAGCUGCUGCCCAACGGGGACUACCUCAACAUGUCCCCCAGCGACGCGGGCGCCUCGGGGACCCCUCCCGACUUCUUCUCGGCCGCCUUGCAUGGCAGCGGGGAGAUGCUCAGGGGAGUGCCCGGCUAUUGCCACAGCUCCCUGCCCCGCUCCUACAAGGCUCCCUACACCUGCAACGGGGACAACAACGACCAGUAUGUACUCAUGAGCUCUCCGGUGGGGCGCAUCCUGGAAGAGGAGAGGCUGGAGCCGCUGGCCAGCCCGGGGACGGCGCCGUCCAGCGGCUGCGGCGGUGGCGGCCACGCCCAGCCUCCUCACCCAGCAGUGCCUUCGCCUGGCAGGCCAGGUGGCAGCGUUGGCGGCCGCCCAGAGGGCUUCCUGAACCAGCGCUGCCGGGCCGUGCGGCCCACGCGCCUGUCCCUGGAGGGGCUUCAGACCCUGCCCAGCAUGCACGAAUACCCGCUGCCGCCCGAGCCCAAGAGCCCUGGCGAGUACAUCAACAUUGACUUCGGCGAUGCGGGAGCUCGCCUGUCGCCUCCCGCGCCUCCGCUGCUGGCCUCGGCCGCCUCGUCGUCCUCGCUGCUGUCCGCCAGCAGCCCGGCCUCCUCCCUGGGCUCGGGCACCCCGGGCACGAGCGGUGACAGCCGACAGCGCUCCCCGCUGUCCGACUACAUGAACCUCGACUUCAGCUCGCCCAAGUCACCCAAGCCGGGCCCCCAGGGCGGGGACCCUGUGGGCUCGCUGGACGCCCUCCUGUCCCCCGAGGCCUCCUCCCCCUAUCCGCCGCUGCCCCCGCGCCCUGCGGCGUCUGCCUCCGCCCUGCAGCCGCAGCCGCUGCCGCCGCCCCCUCCAGGCGAGCUGUACCGCCUGCCCCCCGCCCCCGCCGCCCAGGGCCCCAGCGCUGCCUCCUCGUCGUCCUCGGAGACUGGGGACAAUGGUGACUACACCGAGAUGGCCUUCGGCGUGGCUGCCACCCCGCCGCAACCCAUCGCCGCCCCCCCGAAGCCGGAAGGUGCCCGCGUGACCAGCCCCACGUCCGGCCUCAAGAGGCUGAGUCUCAGGGAUCAAGUGUCGGGAGUGGAGGCCUUCCUGCAGGCCAGCCAGCCCCCGGACCCGCACCGGGGGGCCAAGGUCAUCCGCGCAGACCCGCAGGGGGGCCGCCGCCGCCACAGCUCCGAGACCUUCUCCUCGACCACCACUGUGACCCCCGUGUCCCCGUCCUUCGCCCACAACCCGAAGCGCCACAACUCGGCCUCCGUGGAAAACGUCUCUCUCAGGAAAAGCAGCGAAGGGGCGGGCGGCGGUGGCCUGGCUGGGGGCGACGAGCGCCCCACGUCCCCCCGCCAGCUGCAGCCACCGCCCCCCCAGCAGGCGCGGCCGUGGCUACCGAGUCAGCCGGGGGGCUUGGUCGGGUGCCCCGGGGGCAGCGGCUCUCCGAUGCGCAGGGAGACCUCUGCCGGCUUCCAGAACGGCCUCAACUACAUCGCCAUCGACGUGAGGGACGAACCUGGGCUGUCGCCCGGCCCGCAGCAGCUUCCGCAUCCGCAGCCGGGAGACAAGAGCGCCUGGGGCCGGACCCGUAGCCUGGGGGGUCUCCUCAGCGCGGUGGGGGGCAGCAGCACCGGUGGGGUGUGCGGGGGACCCGGCCCCGGCGCCCUGCCCUCCGCCAACACCUAUGCCAGCAUUGACUUCCUGUCGCAUCACCUGAAGGAGGCCACCAUUGUGAAAGAGUGAGGAUCUGUCUGGCUUUAUCACCGUGACGUCACGCAUCAGAGAAUGACUUUCAAAGAAGAUGCUCACUAUUUUGUUUUUGUUUUUGUUUUUUUAAAAUCUGAAGCUGCUUACAAAUUUUCUUUUGGAUCUGAGCAAUGACUACAUUUUGGAACAUCUACGACUGUAUUAGACUCUGAACCCCCCAGGCGAGGACACCUGCCUCUCCCCCCCUGGUUCCCACAGGGGGCAUUCGUCAUUCUGCUGCUCGUGCUGUGUUUCGUUUGUUUUUUUUAACAAAAUUCGCCGAAGAAGGUAUUCUCAAGAAAAUCGGAUGUUUCCAUUGGCCCUUUAAAUUGUGGCCGGUGUCUUAAUUUCUUCUCACUUUCGUUUUGGCAAAGCAGAUUUAUCCCUCAGCAUGCUGGGAGAUGCUACCAACACCCAUGGAAGUGGGGCAAUCUGGUAUUUACUGGCAUGCACUCAAAACUACCACAGUCCUACCUCAGUUCCAGGUGAAGCCGGAUUUGUGUGGCCGGGGGCCGGCAGGACCUCCUGUACAUAGAUGUCUGCUGAGUGUCUCGAGUGCGGCCUUCAGCCUUAUUUAACUGGUCCCAGGAAACAGCGGCUCCGUGGAUCCAGUCCAGUGUUCUGAAAAGAUCGGUGUUGCGGUAAUCAUUGCAGGGGUCAUCCGAAACUGCUAACCUUGACCGGCAGAAUGUCCCGUCGUCUUGCUGCCCCACGUGACAGAGGGCUAUAGACCUUCCUCCCGCGGGCACGUCCGUGUCCGUGCUCCCCAUCUGCUCGGAUGGUCCCGGAGAGGCUACACUAAUUCAUUGGAGAUGUGAGCUUUUUUUUUUUUUUUUCUUUUUGGAGAAAAAUAUAUAUAAAUAUAUAGAUAUAUAUCACUAUAGAAUAAUGCAUUAAUAAAAUGAGGCUUUUUUAGAGGAAGACCAAAAAAUUCAAUGUCUUAAAAAUAUAUUUAAUGGCAAUGCAAAAGUCUUCCUGCUUCCGUGCUGAACUUUUAGAACAGAGGAUUGUAUUGCAAGACAAAGUUGAAUGUAAAGUGACCCCCCCGAACAUUUUUAAAGUUUUACUUUUCUAAAAUUACACAUCACAACAGUGUGUAGACCAUACGAUGUUAGUUUGAAGGUCAAUUUCAGUGUAUAAUACAGAUACUUUAUUAAAAUGUAUAAAAACGCCCCAAAGUUUGGAUUUCGUUUUGGGACUCGGGAUCGAUGGGUGGUAUUUGCUAUGUAACCCGCCCCCCUCCACCCCACCCCCUCCCCCGGGUACAGUGGGACUGACUCUGGACCCUGCUGGAUACAGUGUAUGAUGUGUAUUUAAGUAGUCCUCUAUACUUAGAGUAGUCACGCCUCUAUACAAAUGGUUCACGUUCAGACUGCCGCUUACAACAAGCAAAAUAAAAAGUUGGUAAUAUACUAAAUUUUCCUCCAUCCUGUACAUUUCAAAAAGAAAAAAGGCAUAUGCAAUAUUUACACUUUUAAUUUAGUUUACAGAAUGGAACCAAAAUGUAUAAAUGUUAUGUUUGCUAAAACUUCGCAAUGUAUAUUGGGUCUUUGUACAUUUUGCCUGACUUACCUUAAAUUUAAAAUAUUUUUUGCUAUAUAAACUUUAACAGUUAUUAAACAGUGUUUUCUUUUUGGGUACGUAUUGUUUCUGGAUAUCAAGAUGUUAAAUAUAUUUCUUGCUAUUGUGAUAUGACAAAAGACUUAACCUUGGUCUGUCUUCCAUUGUACACGCUGUAUAUAAGGGUCGAUGUGACGUUGCUGGAGACAGCAAUAAAUGGAAUUAGAAUAGUGCACUGUAUUUAGUCUGUCUUGAUCAUGGAUGCUCUCCUUAACAGCCAUAUGCAAUAAAAUAAAAUACGUUAUUUAUGAAA